CGUUUUCAAAGGUCUAUUUUCUGUUGUUUAAAGCAGAACAGUGAACUGCGUGUCUGUCUUCAAUGAGUAUACACUGAAAUAACAACAGGUUUUGCAAGAUAACCAAUAGCAUUGACUACAUUAUCUAGAGACAUAGCUGAUUUCCCUCUUAAGGUCGAGACAUGGAAAGGACAGGGAAUAAAGUGUCCACCAUCUCCCCACAAAAACAGACAGUGAAAAAUAGAUCCAAGUCCACAGAGGAGGUACAGCAAGCCAAAAAGGCCUUUCAUACACCACAAAAAUCUCUUCCGGCUAAACCAGAAACCAAACAACUUGAGGUAAACAUGAAAUGACAGAUUAUGGGCUGCUUUAAAGCUUGACUUUGA
rnacentral:lncRNA from 1 species